UCGUCGCUGAGCGUCGUUAUCGCUCGCGGAAACCGCUCGAUUGCACUAAUCGUUUAUCAGAGCAGCGCCCACACACAUUAUGUAAUAAUCGUGGUAAUCUGCCGGUGAUCGCCCUGCGGUGAGAGAGCAGGGCGUGAACUCGCUUCGUCAGCUCCUUUAUUUAUACACGACGGGGAUUUCCGUUACUUCGCGCGCUCCGAACCACACCCUCGCACGCGAGCCAGCCGUCAAUCCGGCGAAAUAAACGCGACGCCGGCGGGUACACGAUCAAUUUAUGCCGAUUACGCUCGACGCGACGCACCGUGCGCUCUCUCGUCCAUGACUCUCACGGCCCCACGAGUCCACCUGAAUCAUCCGCAAGUGCUCGCCGCGACACGCACGCUGCGCAGGUACGCGCCACUCUGGGCUGUGUGCGUAUGGGGCCUGUGACGGACUUUCGGACCAGUUUGGACGGUCGGAGCGUCCGGAACGGAGGAAGAGAGAGAAAAAACGGACUUGAAGUAUCUACGUCCCUGAUCGGCCGACCCCUCUCCUGCGGUUCUGUUGGCCAAGUUCGACAGUGUCGAACGGCAUCCACUGGCAUUCAGCGACGAGCCAGUGAGUGGUGAACAGUGGAUCCGGCAGCCUGUUUUCGCUGCGUCGCAGCUGGUCGCGAUGAUCCACGAUCAAUGAUCGCAGCGUGUGGGUGGUAUCAAUGACACUGAAGCGGACGUGAUUUCCGAUAAUUGUGCGAAUCUUCCCGCUUCGUCGCAUUCUUGCGUUUCUCCUGCCGUGAAAGCAACGCAUCUCAAUACAAUCAUGCAGACGAGUCACGACGUGAAGCCCAGCGACGAUGCCGUUGUCACGACGGUGCCACAUCAGCGAAUGCAAGAGUCGGGAUUAAACAAAGCCACCGAGAACACGUCACUGUCGUCGAACAACAAUCAAACUUACUUCGCCGACGAGAAGGUGCUAGUGCCGGAGAGCAAGACGGAUGGAUUCAGUUUUAGGAAACUAUGGGCUUUCACGGGGCCCGGCUUCUUGAUGUCCAUAGCUUACCUGGACCCUGGCAACAUAGAGUCGGACCUGCAGUCCGGAGUGGUGGCGAAUUACAGGUUAUUAUGGGUACUACUAAGCGCUACUAUCCUAGGUCUCGUAAUGCAAAGGCUCAGCGCGCGCCUCGGCGUGGUGACUGGCCUUCAUCUAGCCGAGAUGUGUUACAGACAAUAUAAAAAAAUACCUAGACUCAUUUUGUGGAUAAUGAUCGAAAUAGCGAUUAUCGGUAGCGAUAUGCAAGAAGUAAUAGGGACGGCUAUUGCCCUUUAUCUCUUAUCUAAUAAAGCAAUACCUAUUUGGGGCGGCGUACUUAUUACCGUGGUUGACACGUUUACAUUUUUAUUCCUGGAUAAAUAUGGCCUGAGGAAGUUGGAGCUGUUUUUCGGCUUGCUAAUCGCAGUCAUGGCUGUCACCUUCGGCUAUGAGUAUGUCUAUUCCAAGCCCCCUCAGUUGGACGUUGUGAGAGGCAUGUUUGUCCCGUGGUACGGCGGAAUGAAUUACGAUAACAAGGUGUUGCUCCAAGCGGUGGGGAUCGUCGGCGCAGUCAUCAUGCCGCACAAUUUGUACCUUCACAGUGCCUUGGUCAAGUCAAGAGACAUUGAUCGAAGACAACCCGCCAAGGUUAAGGAUGCUAAUAUGUAUUACUUUAUCGAGGCCAGCGUCGCGUUAUUUGUCUCGUUUGUGAUCAACGUGUUCGUCGUCGCCGUAUUCGCUAAAGGUCUUUUUGAAAAAACGAACAACCAAGUCUACAGUAUUUGCGAGGCGAGUAAUUACACACUCGGCAUGGAAACUUUCGAGAGGAACAACGAGACGCUCAACGCCGACCUCUACAAGAGUGGAAUCUUCCUCGGCUGCUCCUUUGGCGCGGCCGCGAUGUACAUAUGGGCGGUCGGCAUCCUGGCCGCCGGUCAAUCGUCCACGAUGACCGGCACCUACGCCGGCCAGUUCGCGAUGGAGGGCUUCCUGAAUCUACAGUGGGCCCGUUGGAAGCGAGUUCUGUUCACCCGAACGAUCGCCAUAGUGCCCACGUUCCUCGUCGCCUUCUUCGCCGACAUGAGCAACCUGAGCGACAUGAACGACAUCCUGAACGCCAUCAUGAGCUUGCAGCUGCCGUUCGCCACCUUGCCGACGAUCGCGUUCACCAGCAGCGUUCAGAUUAUGGGUGAAUUCCGGAACGGAUUGGUCAACAAGAUCGUGGCGACCGCGCUGUCGGUGUUAGUGAUCGUGAUAAACAUAUAUUUCGUGACGCAAACCGUCCAAGAAGACCUACCUCACACUUGGCCUGUGUACCUCGGCAUGUCCAUCUACGCGGUUUUAUAUCUUAUUUUCUGCACUUACCUAGCUAUUCACAUGGCUGUGAGCAUGGGUGCAACGUCCCUCGGCAAUCACUGGUUUGUUACCAAGUACAUCGGCACGCCCGUAAGCACAACUCUCGGUAUAACGAAUCCAGCCGUUUACGCCAGAUACGAGACUUUCGGUACGAGCGAAACGUGAUUUUGUAAAAAAAAAGGGCUACUCGUGUGUUCUCUACGUGUCACAUCAUGAUUGGGCGUGCACUCGACGUGAAUCAUGCGAUGAUACAUAAUCUUUUGGGAGGCUCAAUAGAGUUACCUUGCAUAUGCCUAACACAGAAUGCUUCAUGAAAUGCACAAGUAUACAUUCUCCUGAGACUUGCAUAUGUCUACAUGGUGGACAUCGCAGUGGUUGGGAAGACGAAAUUUGUAUCGCGUGCUUUGCAUUUGUCGAAUUCGUGAUAAUUGACUCCGCGUUGGCAUCCUGUCAACGGUAGUGCCGAUUCUGAUCUCGUCCGGCCAGAUGCAUGAAUGAAUCAUGACCUGGUUAAGCGUCGACGUUGCAUCAAGUUUCCACAAUACGUCAGAAACCUCGUUGAACGCUUAGUGGGAGUAAUACGAUUAAAUGUGCGAGGCAGGUACGACCUUUCAGUGUUCUCCGACCGAAAACGUGAGAAAAACAAUGUCGCGUUGGAAAAGUGUGCUUGUAAAACAACUUGUGACGUCAGCAUGAUGUCCCAUGGUAUGUGCCAUCAGUUAAUUAUAUCUCGAUCGUAAUCUCAGAAAUGUAUACACAUAUUUCUUUAUUGCGAGAAAUACGAGUGUAAUCGAUGCUUCCCCCCCUCCCCCCACCGUGAUAACGUUUCGUCAUCGUUAUUGGACGAUAACAACUCGUGCGGAACUCGUCGUCCGUUCACCUCAUCCCAUCGGUAUUGCCGAUCAGUUUUUGUUUGGUCCCUGUUGAUUGUUUUUCGUACCGACGCUUGUAUCGAAAGAGAAUUUUAUCACGUACGACGAGUGAUUAACCAACACUAUCUUCAUUGCAUGCGAAUUGUUAACACACGAAAAGUCUGGGCUCGCAACAUUGACCUCAUUAUCUCGAUAUCGUGACGAAGAACAAAUCCAGCAUUUACCAUUCAAGAAAAUUUCGGCGGCAGUUUCACAUCUAUACCAGAAUAUUAAUUCGUUUACGACCAACUUGUAUCAGUAACGGAUGCCUGAGCGAUGAACAGUAAGGUGUACGAUCCGCACAGUGCCUCUUCAACUACAUUCAACUGGGCAGGAGGUAAUCGACAGUACACCGUAUGAUAUCAGUGUAACAUUCCGUCAUCGAGCACACACGUUGUUUCAAACAGAAGGCUCGGGAAAAGAAAAAUUAUUUAUAUAUGAAUUUUAUCUCUAUAUGUGUGCCUAAUAUAUAACCAUAUGUAAUUGUAUAUAUGUAGCCAUAUAGGCAAAGUUUAUAUGCAAAAAAACUACAUAUAUAAUUUUGCAUAUGAUUAUAUAUUAUCAAUUUUUUCCCCGGGUGAUUUACAAAUACGAGAGCAGGAUGCUAUGUAAUUUUAGACACUCAUUUUGUACAUUUUACAACGAGUUUCAAUUGGAGUCAUAUUUAUAUGUGUACAUCGUAACAAUAUCGUUAUUGACAUGCUCAGAUACAUAUUUAUGUUUGUUGCGAACUUUAUAUCUGGUUCUCUUCAGCGUAACUACUUCAGCGCAAUAUAAUUUUCACAUGGUGUGUAUUCAAAGGAAAGUAGUAUACACGUGAAAAUUACAUUAGAAAUAAUGUGUCAAUGUGUCGUACAUGUAACGUACUGUAUCUGUAAGGUUUUAAAAUAUCACAAAAAUACUUUUA